rnacentral:lncRNA from 1 species
UAUCAGGAACAAACCACGGAGUUGCCCAGGACAAGACCUCUCUGCAAGAGAAGGACUUUGGAAGCUUUAUCUAGUUACAAAGAAGAGUUGUAUCCUGGCUUUAGUCCCCCUUUAGUUAUUACAGUGGAAGUGUGUAUAUGUAGAGAGACACAAGCCCAUAUGAGUACUGAGAUUUACGUACGUGCAUGUGUGUUCCUCAGGAGGUGUCUACCUUGUCUUCUGAGACAGUCUACAAGUGGCCUGGGACGUUCCAAUAUCUACCUGCCUCUGCCUCCACAGCCCUGGCAUUAUAAGCAUAUACCAUGCCUGAAGGUUUUUUUUUUUUUUUUUGGUUAAUGUGGGUUCUGGGUAUUGAACUGUGAUCUUUGUGCUUUCAAGGCAUAUACUUUACUGACUGAGCUAUGUUCCUGUCCUUAGUCAAAAUAUUAUACCUCUGCAAGGACAGCAGACAUUAAACAAAAAUUAAAAUGAUAUAUAUGAAACCAAAGCCCAUUACUCUGUAUGCAAAU